GGAGUUAGCCGGUGCUUCUUCUGUGAGUGAUGUCCUUCCUGCCGGUUAUUGACCCGCAGGCCUUCUUCCUCACUGAAAGUGCUUUACAACCCGAAGGCCUUCUUCACACACGCGGCAUGGCUGGAUCAGGGUUGCCCCCAUUGUCCAAUAUUCCCCACUGCUGCCUCCCGUAGGAGUCUGGGCCGUGUCUCAGUCCCAGUGUGGCUGAUCAUCCUCUCAGACCAGCUACGGAUCGUCGCCUUGGUGAGCCGUUACCUCACCAACCAGCUAAUCCGACAUAGGCUCAUCCGAUAGCGCGAGGCCCGAAGGUCCCCCGCUUUCCCCCGUAGGGCGUAUGCGGUAUUAGCCUGGGUUUCCCCAGGUUAUCCCCCACUACCGGGCAGAUUCCUAUGCAUUACUCACCCGUCCGCCGCUCGCCACCAGGGAGCAAGCUCCCCGUGCUGCCGCUCGACUUGCAUGUGUAGCUGCCGCCACGCGUCAUCUGAGCCACGAACUACGAACCCUACGA
rnacentral:rRNA from 1 species